GACGAACGCUGGCGGCGUGCUUAACACAUGCAAGUCGAACGGAAAGGCUCUGCUUUUGUGUGGUGCUCGAGUGGCGAACGGGUGAGUAACACGUGAGUAACCUGCCCUUGACUUUGGGAUAACUUCAGGAAACUUGUGCUAAUACCGGAUAGGAGCUCCUGCUGCAUGGUGGGGGUUGGAAAGUUUCGUCGGUUGGGGAUGGACUCGCGCCUUAUCAGCUUGUUGGUGGGGUAGUGGCUUACCAAGGCUUUGACGGGUAGCCGGCCUGAGGUGGUGACCGGCCACAUUGGGACUGAGAUACGGCCCAGACUCCUACGGGAGGCAGCAGUGGGGAAUAUUGCACAAUGGUCGGAAGCCUGAUGCAGCAACGCCGCGUGCGGGAUGACGGCCUUCGGGUUGUAAACCGCUUUCGCCUGUGACGAAGCGUGAGUGACGGUAAUGGGUAAAGAAGCACCGGCUAACUACGUG
rnacentral:rRNA from 1 species